UACGAAGGGGGGCUAGCGUUGUUCGGAAUCACUGGGCGUAAAGCGCACGUAGGCGGAUUUUUAAGUCAGGGGUGAAAUCCCGGGGCUCAACCUCGGAACUGCCUUUGAUACUGGAGAUCUUGAGUCCGGAAGAGGUAAGUGGAACUGCGGAGUGUAGAGGUGAAAUUCGUAGAUAUUGGGAAGAACACCAGUGGCGAAGGCGGCUAACUGGUCCAGAUCUGACGCUGAGGUGCGAAAGCGUGGGGAGCAAACAGG
rnacentral:rRNA from 1 species